GUGGGGAAUAUUGGACAAUGGGCGAAAGCCUGAUCCAGCCAUGCCGCGUGUGUGAAGAAGGUCUUCGGAUUGUAAAGCACUUUAAGUUGGGAGGAAGGGCAGUAAGUUAAUACCUUGCUGUUUUGACGUUACCGACAGAAUAAGCACCGGCUAACUUCGUGCCAGCAGCCGCGGUAAUACGAAGGGUGCAAGCGUUAAUCGGAAUUACUGGGCGUAAAGCGCGCGUAGGUGGUUCAGCAAGUUGAAGGUGAAAUCCCCGGGCUCAACCUGGGAACUGCCUCCAAAACUACUGAGCUAGAGUACGGUAGAGGGUAGUGGAAUUUCCUGUGUAGCGGUGAAAUGCGUAGAUAUAGGAAGGAACACCAGUGGCGAAGGCGACUACCUGGACUGAUACUGACACUGAGGUGCGAAAGCGUGGGGAGCAAACAGGAUUAGAUACCCCGGUAGUCC
rnacentral:rRNA from 1 species